UAUUAUACAAUUUUAUUACAUUCUUUGGUUCAUUUCUCAGGUAGAGAUGGUUGUCAUGAUUGGUUAUGUGUUGUGUGAUUUUGAUCCUUGUUUAAGGGGUCUCAUUCUGCGAUAGUUUAGUACUGUGUUAAUUUUUUUAAGAAAGGUCAUUUGUUGAGACUUGAAAUUGAUAUUCUAAAUCUAGAGAGCAGUGGAUGGUUGAGGUUUGGUAGGGAUGAUUGUGUGACCCAACUCUCUUCCAGAUAAUUGCUACUUGUGAAGUCCUAAUUUUUUAUUUUGCAAAAUAAUAUUUCUAUCAAUACAAUUAGAAGUCCUAACUAACUGAAUUCAAUCAACCCUAUAAAGAAGUCCGCGGAAGUUUACUUUCCUCGUCUUCUGUCCUAUUCCAUUUUCUUCUCUAGCGACGACACUACAGGAAGAACAAGACCUCCUUCAAUGGCAGCAACUUCCUCAAGGUACGGAUUCAGAUCCCCCUGCCCGAGCGAGUCUGAUUAUUGAAUGCACUACGUGGUUUCAAGGCUUUUUGGAUGAAAAGGGGUUUGCGUCCGGUCCUCAAAUAAGAGAAAGAGUGGAAUGCGGCAUGAACCCUGUUUUCGAUAAGCUCACGGAGCGGUUUUGACAGCGAACGAUAAGAGAGAGAUAUAUACGAGCGUCUGAAUCAAUUUCUGCGACUGAUUUGAGCACAAGACAGAGUAAUAGCAAUCAACUAGUUGAAACUGAAGGAUGAAUCCCAUUCAUGCGAAGUUUAGGGUGAACAAGUCAGGGGAGCAUGACAUGGAGCAACAAUACACAAGGACGGAAAUGGAGAUAUGAAGUUUGGGGUCAUCCAACAAGGCUAUGUUAGAAAAUUCACCACCUCGAUUGUGUGCAAACUAGUUCCCAAUGGAAUUGCAUUACUGUUGGUAGUGCCAAUAAGGUUAGGUUUCCUACUCCCCAAAUUUUUUCAAGACUUUCAGUAAAUGCUUUCUUUUUAUUAUAUCUUUGAUAUAUGAUUUGUUUUUACGUUCUUUGUGAAAUCAUGUUUUUAUUUUAAGGGUAAAUAAACAUGAGAGAGAGGUUGAGCAGGGAAUGAAGUUCUUUCCUUAAGGCUUAAUUGUUGUAGGUCGUUAAAAAUGGAGCAUUGAUUUCUAUUUAUUAUCCUUAUUAAGAAAACCCAAGCUAAUAGAUCAUCUUAAUGAAAGAAUACAAGAGAAAACACUCCAAAAGGUGGUCAAUUAUUAACCUUAAAAGAGGCUCUAAUACAGCAACAGAAGACAUAAAGGUUUCUCAUACAAAGUUAUGGUAUUAUUAACUUUAAAAGGGUCUAUAAUAAAGCAAAACAAGACUUUAAAGCUUUGCACAUUUCCCAUUAAAAAAUGUGAAAUCUAUCAUAUUCACACCUAAAACAAAAUCUCUAUAUAUCCCUCUAAAAUCUUAUUGCUAUUUUUUUCACCACAAACCCCAUUAACUUUUUUUUAUUGAAAAGUCCUAGCUAUUUUUUUGACAAUCAAGUAAAGUUUGGUUGAAAAAUUCAGAAAAUGGACAAAUUAAGAGAUUCAUAGGAUAAGAGAACUUUGGUUUAAUAUCUAAGAUUGGACUAUCAAACCUUUCCUUGGAUGAAAGUGUAGAUAUUUGGAUGCAAAGUUUAAGGUUGGAGAUUGGACAUCAAUAUUUGGAUUGAAGAGUCCUAGGCAUUGUUUGGAUUACAAUGUAGAAAUUAAAUGGUUGAAGAGUUCAUAAAUGGAUAAAUUAAGAGAUGCAUAAGAUAAGAGAACUUUGGUUUGAAGUUUGAGCUUGGAUUACAACCUUUUUUAUUGAGGAUACCUAGGAAUUCUUUUGACGAAUGUGUAGAAAUUGGAAGCAAAGUUAAGAAAAUUGACAAAUAAGGAGAAUUUUGGUAUGAGGUUGGAAAUUUUGGUUUAGUUGAGACAUACGGGUGAUCCUCUUGAUCCAACAUUUAGCUUCUUUAUUAUUGUUCUCAUUGUAUAACUCUCUUGUAUACUUUGAUUUUUAUUCUAAUAAAGAAGUUUGUCUCCUUUCCACAAAAACUACAAAAUAUUAGGAUCGAAGAGACCUAGCAACACUUUGAUUAUGUAAAAACUUGGUUGAAGAUUUCAUAAAAUUAAAAAUUAAGAAUACAUAAUUAGAUCAUAAAUGUUGGUUUAAUUAAGUGUGAGGUUGAAGAUCAUUGGAAGUUAAGAAAAUGGACAAAUAAAUAGAGCUUUUGUUGAAGGUUAGAGAUUGGACUUCAACAUUUCAACAUUUGUAUUGAAGAGGCCUAGCCAUUCUCUGAUUAUAAAGCAAAAAUUUGGUUGAAGAGUUCAUAACAUGGUGUCAAGUUAAAAGAUACAUAAGAUUAGAGAAUUUUGGUUUAAAGUUUGAGAUUAAUUAGACUUCAACUUUAAUAUUGAAAACUACUAGACAUUUUUUGGAUGAAAAAAGUAAAGUCAAGAGAUUUUUUUGUUUAAGGUUGGAGAUUGGACAUCCACAUUCGGAUUGAAGAGACCUGGCCAUUGGUUGGACUACAAUGUAAAAACUUAAUUGAAAUUAAGAGAUACAUAUAAUAAGAGAAUUUUGGUUUGAAGUGUGUGAAAUUGGACUAUUCUAUUUGAUUGAGGACACCUAGGAUUUCUUUGGAUGAAAGUUUAGUUUGAUAUUUGGAAGCAAAGAAAAUGGACAAAUAAGGAGUUUUGGUUGAAGGUGGAAGGUUGGAGAUUGAACUUCAACAUUUGUAUUGAAGAGGCCUAGUCAUUCUUUGAAUUAUUUAAUAAAAACUUGGUUGAAGAAAUACAUAAGAUAAGAGAAUUUUGGUUCGAAGUUUGAGAUUGGACUACUACUUUUUUAUUGAAGACACUUGGGAAUUUUUUGGGUGAAAGUGCAGAUAAUUGGAAACAAAGUUAAGAAAUUGACAAAUAAGGAGAAUUUUGGUUUAACGAUGGAGAUUUGAUUUCAACAUUUGCAUUGAAGAGACCUAGCUUGUAAAAACAUGGUUGAAAAUUUCAUAAAAUCGACAAAUUAAGAGAUACAUAUAUAAGAUACGAGAUGCUUGUUUUGAGUGUGAGAUUCGACUACACUAUUUGAUUGAUUACAUCUAUAGGAUUUAUGUGGACGAAAGUGUAGAUAAUUUUUUUUUUGUAAAGGUAUUGUAAUAAAUGCAGGGUGAGAAGUUGAACAUGGGAUCUCUUGUCCACAUGGACAUAUAGGUACCAGUUGAGCUAAGCUCAUGUUGGCAAGGUGUAGAUAAUUGGAAGUGAAGAAAAUGGACAAAUAAGGAGAGUUUUGGCUGAAGGUUUGAGAUUGAACUUCAACAUUUGUAUCCAAGAGGCCUAGUCAUUCUUUGGAUUAUAAAGUAAAAAUUUUGGUUGAAGAGCUCAUAAAAUGGUUAAGUUAAGAGAAACAUAAAAUUGGAAAAUUUUUGUUUAUAGUCUAAGGUUGGACUACAACGUUUUUUUAUUGAAGAAACCUAGACAUUCUAAAGAUGAAAAUGGCUAGAUUGAAUAUUAAAUUAAGAAUUUAAACAUGGCUAGAUUGAAUAUUAAAUUUGCACGUGUAAAGUUUUAAGCAGGAGUAACGAAUUGAGAAUAGUUUAUGCAUGACUAACUUAGUUUAAGAACUCUAGAAAUAAGAGAAUUUUGGUUACUAAGGAGAGGAUGAUGAAAGUUUUGUUGAAAUGUUGAAGUGCUGCUGGUUUAGCUACGCGAGAAAAGGCUUGCGAGAAAAAUGACUUCUUUAGUAAAGUUUUGUGAGUGAUUUUCUCUCAAAUAAAUUUAUGUUUAAAAUUUUAUUAUGAUUUCUCUUUAUUGAUUUGAAAGAAAAAUUCAAAUAAGAAUGAUUCAAAGAUGUUUCUAUGAAAAAGUUAUGUUUUCAAGCAUGAUUUAUAAUGUUAAAGCUUGAUUUAAUGAUUAUGAUUUUAAUACUAUAAAAUGGUUUUCAAACUAUUAGUUGUUUAUUUGAGAUGAUACUAACUUUUAUGUGUACAUAAAGAGUUGUUAAGGCCACCAUGGGUGUAUGAGCUACAUGGUGACAAGAAGCUGGCUUAUGCGUUGAAAUGAGCAUAUAAGGUUUAGCAGCCUGGGCAACAUGGACGAAUCUAUAUGUUUUUGGAUGUUGUUGAUACAACAAUUUAAACACGAGUUAAUGAGACUAAACGUAGAGAACGAUUCGAGAUCCUUGGCGAAAGAAAAUGAUUUGUUAAGCAUAAAAAAAGCUUUAUGUGAAAUAAAAUAAUUUGAUAUUUUUGCGAAAUGGUUAUGAAAAGAUAUUACAAAAGGUUUUCAUAAUACCUGAGUCAUUUGACUGACGUUUUCAAAAUUAAUCUUUUAAGAUCAUAAGUUUAGGCCAAGUAGAGAAGGAAGUGGAAGGUUUUGUGGCGAGAUGAGAAAGCUACGUCUGUUUAAGAGUUUACUUAAUGCAACUUUUGGUUAAGAAUCGUUUCUUUACCUUGUUUUACUUAACACCUAUUAUUAAUAAAGUGUAAGUUUUUGCUGAA